AACGCACAUUGCGCCCUCUGGCAUUCCGGGGGGCAUGCCUGUCCGAGCGUCAUUUCUGCCCCUCAAGCGCGGCUUGUGUGUUGGGUGUUGUCCUCCGGCUUUCUAAGCCCUGGGGGACAUGUCCGAAAGGCAGCGGCGGUGUCGCGUCCGGUUCUCGAGCGUAUGGGGCUCUGUCACUCGCUCUGGAGGCCCGGCCGGUGCCCGCCAUCAACCAAUCUUUUCUCUAGGUUGACCUCGGAUCAGGUAGGGAUACCCGCUGAACUUAA
rnacentral:misc_RNA from 1 species